rnacentral:rRNA from 1 species
UACGUAGGGCGCAAGCGUUAAUCGGAAUUACUGGGCGUAAAGCGCGCGUAGGUGGUCUUGUAAGUCGGGUGUGAAAGCCCCGGGCUCAACCUGGGAACUGCAUUCGAGACUGCGAGACUGGAGUAUGGGAGAGGGCAGCGGAAUUUCCGGUGUAGCGGUGAAAUGCGUAGAUAUCGGAAGGAACAUCAGUGGCGAAAGCGGCUGCCUGGCCCAAUACUGACACUCAUGUGCGAAAGCGUGGGGAGCAAACAGG